UACGUAGGGGGCUAGCGUUAUCCGGAAUUACUGGGCGUAAAGGGUGCGUAGGUGGUUUCUUAAGUCAGAGGUGAAAGGCUACGGCUCAACCGUAGUAAGCCUUUGAAACUGGGAAACUUGAGUGCAGGAGAGGAGAGUGGAAUUCCUAGUGUAACGGUGAAAUGCGUAGAUAUUAGGAGGAACACCAGUUGCGAAGGCGGCUCUCUGGACUGUAACUGACACUGAGGCACGAAAGCGUGGGGAGCAAACAGGAUUAGAUACCCUGGUAGUCCCUGAGCGGG
rnacentral:rRNA from 1 species